rnacentral:rRNA from 1 species
CCUACGGGCGGCUGCAGUGGGGAAUUUUGGACAAUGGGCGCAAGCCUGAUCCAGCCAUGCCGCGUGCAGGAUGAAGGCCCUCGGGUUGUAAACUGCUUUUGUACGGAACGAAAAGCCUCUCUCGAAUAAAGAGGGGUGAUGACGGUACCGUAAGAAUAAGCACCGGCUAACUACGUGCCAGCAGCCGCGGUAAUACGUAGGGUGCGAGCGUUAAUCGGGAUUGCUGGGCCGGAAGCGCAAGCCAGCGGUGAAAGCCCCGGGCUCAACCUGGGAACGGCCAUUGUGACUGCAAGGCUGGAGUACGGCAGAGGGGGGUGGAAUUCCGAGUGUAGCAGUGAAAUGCGUAGAUAUGCGGAGGAACACCGAUGGCGAAGGCAGCCCCCUGGGCCUGUACUGACGCUCAUGCACGAAAGCGUGGGGAGCAAACAGGAUUAGAUACCCCAGUAGUC